UCUCUUCUCUCCUCCAUCUUGGUUCAAACUCCUCAAAUCCUCCGCCUCCUCAAUAUCUUUGGCUUCCUCUCUCUCCUCAAAGUGGUUGUCUGGAAGCUUUGUCUCCGCCUUCAAUGGAAGAGGUGCACCAGAUUCCGAGGGGAGCUCCUCCUCGUCAUUCCGUUUCAAUCUAGAUCGUGUUCUUCUUAGAACUACUCAAUUGUGCUGAAUUUAGGAUGGGGGAUUUAGCGGCGGCGAGGAAGCCGGAGAGAGGAAUGGAGUCGCAUAUGUAUUUCAGUGGAUUUCAAGAAAUAUGAAGUACUUCAGUAGUUUUUUUGUAUAGAUUUUGUUUUAGUUUUAGUUUUUUUAUAUUUAGUUAUGAAAUAAAGUGUUUUAGUUACAUUGUUGCAUUUUUUUUUGUUAUAAGCAACAAAUUAUCAGCGUCUUUUGACAUCAGUUUUCUGAAUCUGUGAGAUUUUAU